GAGUAACACGUUGGUACCUGCCCCGAAGGUGGGGGAAUAACUGCCCGAAAGGGUAGCUAAUACCGCAUAAUCCCGCAAGGGUAAAGCAGUAAUGCGCUUCGGGGAGGGGCCUGCGUCCCAUUAGCUUGUUGGUAGUGUAAUGGACUACCAAGGCGACGAGUGGGUAGCUGGACCGAGAGGUUGACCAGCCACACUGGGACUGAGAUACGGCCCAG
rnacentral:rRNA from 1 species